rfam:Nicotiana sylvestris Nsyl_contig146604, whole genome shotgun sequence.
GGAUGCGAUCAUACCAGCACUAACGCACCGGAUCCAAUCAGAAUUCCGAAGUCAAGCGUGCUUGGGCGAGAGUAGUACUAGGAUGGGUGACCCCCUGGGAAGUCCUCGUGUUGCAUCCA